rnacentral:rRNA from 1 species
CUACGGGGUGCAGCAGUGGGGAAUAUUGGGCAAUGGGCGCAAGCCUGACCCAGCAACGCCGCGUGAGGGAAGAAGGUUUUCGGAUUGUAAACCUCUGUCCUUGGGGACGAAGAAGUGACGGUACCCAAGGAGGAAGCUCCGGCUAACUACGUGCCAGCAGCCGCGGUAAUACGGUGGGGAGCAAGCGUUGUCCGGAAUUACUGGGCGUAAAGGGUGCGUAGGCGGCAUAUUAAGUCAGGUGUGAAAUACUCGGGCUCAACCCGAGGGGUGCAUUUGAAACUGAUAAGCUUGAGUGUGAGAGAGGAAAGUGGAAUUCCUAGUGUAGCGGUGGAAUGCGUAGAUAUUAGGAGGAACACCAGUGGCGAAGGCGACUUUCUGGCUCAUAACUGACGCUGAGGCACGAAAGCGUGGGGAGCAAACAGGAUUAGAUACCCGUGUAGUC